GGUGUUGCUGUGAAAAUGUCGAUGGGCUGGGGUUUUCGUAAGGGCAGUGGGGGACCACUCUGUUCUGAAUAACAAGCCGAGAGGUUGGUGUGGGGUUACAGCACAAGCGGUGACAGAGCAGCAAGAUGACGAGAACGCAGUUUGUACAGGAUGCGAGAAAGUUACACAAAAACUGACUUAAUGAAAUGAGUCAGUUUUCAUCCUGGGAGGAUACAGUGCUACAAAGUAAACCGAGACCAAGCACCGGAAAAGGGGGUGAGUGAAUGUUUUAGUCUUAACUUAAUUUCAGGUCAGAACAAUCUGUUCUGUUUUGAGGUAAAACAAUAAUAUGACCCUGUAUUUUAUUAUUUUUUUAUUUAUUUAUUUUUUUGGUGGGGUGGGGAGGGGGGACUUCAGAAGCAAUAACAACUGCGUUUUGUUUUUCUCUCUACAAAAAAAGUUUCUACAUUGAAGGAAAGAUGAGAACACACUGGAGAAAUAGCAGCAGUGCAGCAAAGCUGAAUGAGUUUCAGUUUUCAUGUGCAGGGUGUGGCCGUGGACAAAUAAACAACAGUAGUUGUAAAACUACUUCGAUAUAUAAAUGUAUUCAUUUAUAUUUAGAUAUUAAUUUAUAAAAAGUUUAUUAUGGAUAUUUAAUUACCAUAUGUUAGUAUGUUUUUUUUUUACUAUUUAUUAAAGAUUACGGCAUUUCUAAACGUACCUAUUUAGAAAUGCAAAAAAGACUGUGCAGCAGUAAUUUUUGGCAUUUAAAAUUAUAUGUACAAGCUAGUUUUUCUAUUUCGAUAAUAAAUAUUUUAAUUCAGCAAUGUAAACACUUUUUAUUUUAAUAACACUAAAAUAGUAACUGCAUUUUAUCCACAACAUUAAAAAAUACAUAUGGUUUAUUUCUGGAAUUGUGCUUAUUGUUCCUUUAAUAGUCAAAUACAAUGUCAAUAGAGCUGACUGGGCAUCUUUCCAAUGCAGGGAUUAAGUGGAACAGGAACAGCUGAUAGAUGACAUGGCUAAAAUUAACGCACUGUCCGCUGGAUGAGAAGCAAAAAUAGCAGACAGGAAGAGUCGACACGUGGAUGCAUCAGUAAGUCUGUUGCCGUGUGUGUCAGCGUAAACAAAAGGCACUUUUUUUUAUUCCUGGUUCGAAUCAACAAAGCCAAUUUUCCUGAAAUGAAAAUAUUUUAACAUAAAACCUAAUUUUCAGGGACUUGUACAAUCAAAGUCUUUCAAACUUUUUACAUGUUCUGCCACUUUGUAACCUCAAACUUCAGUGAAUUUCGAGAUUUUAUUUGAUGGACCGAUACAAAGUAGUCCACAUAAAAUGAUAUGAAUUUCCUCCGAAACGUUCCACAUAAAAACACAUCAGGCCUGUAUUUGCAUUCAGCCCCAUUUACUCUGUUAGCCCAAAAAUAAAAAGGCUGUGCAACCAAAUACCUUCAGAAAUUACUAAAAAGAUAAUUGCAGGAGAAAUGUUGACUCGGUGGGUUAAUUACAAAUGCCUGCCACACUUUUUAGAACUUACUAGAAAAAAAAAAAAAAGGGAAAACCAUGGAUAUUUUUGGAUCCACUUCAGUUAUGUGCCACUUUGAUGCAGACUAUCUCACUAGAGCUCAAUAAAACAAAUUACAGUUGGUGUUUCAGUUGUUUCAUUCUAGUUGUUUCGCGUAGAACUGCACUUUUGGACUGCUGAAAUCUUUAUCCUGGAAGGGGCCGGUAAACCUCCGUCCACAGAUCAAUACUCUCAGUCCACACAGGGCAAACAUGCUUUGAUCACUCAGACCCAUUUAUGUUUCAUUUAUAGCUCCAGGUGAAAGGUGAUUCUUUUAAAGAUGAUCUCCUUUCUUUGUUUUGCUUUCUGGACCUGGCUGUCAGGAGAUAAAACAAGAAGACAUUUUAUUAUGUUAAAAAUGGUUCCAAAGCAGAGUUGUCUUCACUUCGUCUCCCAGCAGAUCCAAACUAAGGGUAAAACAUAAUCAGUAGUUUAGGAAAUCAACCAUUUUUAUUUAUUUUUUACUAAUGACUAGCAUAAUUCUGAUACAGUGAGUUUAUUUACCCAUUGUUUUUUUUUUGUUUGUUUUUUUUAGGACAAAGCUUGUGUUUCAGCUUGCCAAAUAAAGAGGACUUUAUGCUGACAGACCCAAAAGGCACAGCUUUGUUGCUGGGAGCACACAAGUCCAUAAAAGAGACUGAAUCAAGCUUGUUGCUCCUAUGUAAAUGCCAGGCUGAUUGCAAACAAGUAGUUAAAACAUUUUCCCCCGUGAACAUAAAAAAAUGUUAAUACUAAAGUUAUUGCCUGUGUCUAAGUUUAACUCUGUCUAACUUGUAUCUUUUUUUCCCUACUGCUACAGCACCCCUGACCCACUUACGUUGGGAGCAAAAAAGCAAAUCGUCCAAUCAAGGUAAGGCAGCAAUCACAUCAGCCGCAGCUUGAAUGCUUAAAAUAACCACUGCCAAAACAGACUAUUUAUAAGAUGGGAACACAAUCCUGUUUAAAGACAACACAACUUCCCACUUUCCAUAUGAAUCUGUUAAUUUUUCCUUUAUCUAUUCAUCACAGUUCCUUGCAAAACUAGAUAUUACCCUUUAGCUUUUCAUAACUGGUCACAUCACAGCCAGAAGAGGUAUUUUAUUGGUAUUUUAUGUAACCAACACAAAGUGGUACAUAUAUGUCCAUUGGAAUAAUUAUUUAUAUUCAAUCCCCUUAACUCUGAUACUAUUAAAUAAAACCCAGUACAACCAAUUCAGAAGCUACAUAAUUAGUAAAUAUGUGAAAUUUAGCAUCGGUAUGAAAAUGGGCAGAAAUCCAAAGUUCAGGUGGGUUUAUGGAAAAGUUUAUGAAAAGAUGGAUGGAUUUACAUAUGCGGUAAUUUUGAAAUAAAGCCUAUAGAGGCUGAAAAAGACUUCAUCUUUCAGCAACUAGAUAGAAAGUAAAGGUGAGCAUUUAUCAUUUAUCGAGACAGACGUCUUAUCAUAAUAAGAAUUUUAAUUUAUUGUUGUCGUGAUAAAUUCCAAUUAAUGGUAUUUAAAAUUCCAAAAACUCUCCAGGUUGUUAUUUUGACUAUUUUAUCCACUGUUUGUUCAAUGGGAGUAUCAAUACAUAACAAUGAAAUUUAAAUAAUUUAUUAUUGGUGAUAAAAGUAUAUGACUUAUGUCCUAAGGAAGCAUAUUAUAAAUUAGUAUGUUUUUCAAAAGCAGUAUUUGAGUUUGUUGGGCUACAAUUGCUGUGUCAGCGAUACGGUUACCUAAAGUAGAAGUAAUAAAUAGUUCAUAUCGUCACUUUUAUCGUUAUCACAAAAGUACCACAGAAUAUUGGGAAUAUUGUAAGAAACGUUUAACUUUUUUUUUUUGUCUGAAAUUAGCUGAAACUAAAGGGGAAUUGAGUUUUUUCUUUUUAUUACAGUACUGGAUGAAACUGUGCUGUGUUUUCUCUAGGGAUAAUCUAUGGUCGGCUGCACUGAAGAGGUCGAAUCAUGGAAGUGUCAGACAUGCAUGCCUCAUGUGAUGUAUUUUCCUAUAGAAGUAAAAUCAACAAAGACUUUGUCUGAGCAUAAUGCUGAAAGCGACGUACCUGUGACAGUAACAUGUAAGCCAGGUACAGAUUGAGUCGGAUCCACAUCAGGCGGUAUUAAAAACAAUAUCUGAGCGCUUACGCAACUGAUAAACACGCUGGUGAUGGUGUGCCUUUAAAACCAGUGGGUUGUCAGGUGAUCAAGGCGGCUCAGACACAGGAGCCUGAGUGCGUCUGUAGCCGGGAGCAGAGCGCCAGAGAGGAGAGGAGCCGAGAGGGAGAGACCUGUUUAGAAAGGGACAUGGGGGGAGAUGAGGACUCAGCCACAUCACAGAGUGGGGGGGCCAGAGACUCGUGGUGGUAGGGUCCCUUUAACUGCAGUCUGCUCGUGCCCACUUGCCUUGUGUGACAGCUAGCAAGUGUGUUUCUGGCUCAGCUUGAUCAAGAAGCUGCGUUUGUGUAAGCCACAACAGUGGCAUAAAAAAAAAAGAAGCACAGAGAAUUAAGUGCUGCGUCACACUCAGGAAGAGAAAUAGUGUGAUCAUGCGCGUGUGUGCACAGCUGCGUGUGUGUUUGUGUGAGCGCGCACGUACGUACGCAUUUGAGUAGACUCUGUUGUGUUUGUCUGGCAGUGGGUAUAUGUGUGUGUGCUCGUGAGUGUGUGUGUGUGUGUGUGUGUGUGUGUGUGUGUGAGUUAGACGUAGCAAUCUAAUAGCAGUUCUGCUGUUGCAACAAGAUGGAAAUAAAAGGAGUGUGUGUGCUUUUCAGUGGUGAGCAGAAAGGAAGCGAAGGGGAGAUACAGAGAGCGAGGGAGAGCAACUCCGAGUCAGUGCAAGAGAGUGAUUUCGGAUUAGUUGCUACGUCACUUUUUCAUGUCGAGAGAAACAGAAGCUGAGAUAACAGACGCCCAGAGUCAUCACCCGGAGGAGGCACUCUGCUUUUCGGACAGCCUCAGCUUCUGCCCUCUUCUUCUUCUUCCUUGGUAGUUUUGAUGUGCUCUGCAUUAAGAGUGUGUGUGCGCGUGUAUGUGUGUGUGUUGCGUAGAUUUUGUGAGCUGGUGCCUGAGUUUCAACAUGGAUGCUGAGGAUUUGACACAGUUACUUACUAGAGCUUGUUUUGAUUGGUUGGUUAGGUGGCGCUGGUUGCGACAAACAGGUUAACAGCACGAAUAUUCAGUCCGGGAUGUUUUUCAAAGAAUUCAUCGAGGUACAGCGCUGUUUUCCCCCGCUCUCUCCUCGAGGAAUAUGGGUGAUUAUUUUUUUGCAAAUAGGUUAAAAUAAUAAAUGACGGUGCGGUCUAACCCUCCUACUAUGCAGUCAGGUAACACAUACAGCAAUUCAAGUGAAGUUACAUAAUAAAUACGGCUGUUAAUGUCGCGUCAUGUGCGUCUGUGUUAAAAUAGAACCAGCGCUGGACUCUUCUGGUUAACUCUGCUGAAGUUGAUGGAAAGAAUCAGCAUCCGGACUUGGAAGCAGAGGCUGCUGUAUGUUGCUGUCACAUACCACUCUGUAUCUGGUGUUACUUUCAACAUGUGAGUUGUUUUCACCCACCAGAGCCAUUGGGAUCUGGCAAAACCCUUCCCGAGACACAUUUGUUUCUGCGUAGUUAGGAGAGACAGAGAUGGUGACGCAGUCGCUUCUGGGCUGGACUUCGCUGCAACCGGCUAGUACCUCUCCCUUCCCCUCUCAGUAUGUUUAUCUGUGUGCCUAUCUGUCUGUCUAUCCGUCUCCUGGAGAAAGGAGGGGGUAAGGAGGUCUAAAUGUCAUGGCUCUGGAUCAGAAACAUAUAGAGAAGAGGAAGAGAGAGCGAGGGAGGGAAGGAAAGAGAAAAACAUAGGUGGAGAGGAAGCACAGAGGGGUGCUGAGAUGGGCCAAAACAGAGAAAAGUUGUAAACCUUGUUCUUUUUUGUUACUUAGCUUUGGCUUCUCUCCAGUGUACAUGCACUGGACUGGACUUCCUAAAGCUGCUGCAUCACAAGCCUUCAUGCCAAGGCUCCAAUCUCAUUGGAUGGGAGGAGCUUCCCAGGCUUCACAAGCAGCACAGCAGCAUUUCAUUGGCUUAAAACAACAGGCAGAUGACAUUCAACCUCUGAUUGGCUGGGACGCAUUGUUUUCUCACAGUAAGGUUAAGCACUCACUGGAACACUUUUCUGUGAAUACAUGACUUGGUUAUUUCACUGUGGUUCAUUGUUGACAUAUAUUGAUAUUGGAUGCAGAAAACUAAAGAAAUGUCAAUGAUAAAUGCAAUGAAAGUUUGUCCUAUAUACUUAAAUCACAUUAUUCAAGACGUGAAGGUGCUCUUCCUUCCAUAUGUAAGAGGAGGAGGAAUAACAACACAAUUUCGAAUCAAGUGAGUCACUCUUCCAGGAACCUUCCCAUGAAUUCUCAGUGACGUAUGAGUUCCUUUCUAGGAAACUAAAGAGCCCGUUGAAUUCAGACUUCACUGGACUGUCAGUAAAGGAAAUCUGCUGGUUAUAGCACAGCGUUUCCUGUUCAUGCUAGAAAUUUCAGAAAAAGCUCAAAGAUGAGAGAGGGCUUUUUUUUUUUUUAUGUUUUUCCUGGCUUGAUCCCCAGUAUGCAGAAUAUGCAGCGUUUCUGAGACGUUCAAAGAGCAUCUGCUGCUUAUGUUCUGCAUUGCAGUUGCUGCCUGUGCUAAUGGCAAAGCGUACUUUAUACCAUUACGCACCUUUGGUUUAAAUUUUUAGUGAAUGAAUCUUAACUGUGGUGCUUACAAUGUGAAGCCCCGAGGAUUUAGUUUUAUCUGCAAAAACAUAACCUGACAUUUCCAGAUUUUCUCAAGCGCUAAAAGACUGUUAGAGAAGGAAGAGCUUAUUUUCAUAGAAAAAAAUCCUCUUUCAGUAUCUGAGAAACUGCUUUACAGUGAAGACAGAGACUAAAUACCUAUAGAGUUAUUGCAAUGCGUUAUGUGGCAACUCUUGGAGGUUGUUGAUGUUAAAUGGAUGCCAUAUUUAGAUUGCUGAGCAAAAUUUCUAAGCUGACAAACAGAAUUUCAUGACUCAGUUCUGAUCACCGUUUUCUGUAAAGUUUUGACUUGUCACUCCAGAUUCCAAUUUCUCUUGAAGAAACUGGUACAGUUCUUCUUUAAUAUAAGAAGAUAUAAGAAUGUGCUUAAAAUCACUUGUUUAAUCAUUUCAUUUAUAGACCUUCCUGCUGUGAAAAGUCAUUAAUUAUUUAUAUCCGGAGUAAAGUUACUGCUCACCACUCCAUGAAAGAGCAAUUACUGCAAAAAAUAUUAUGAUUUUCAAACAAAACUGGAUCAUCAUAUGAUUGGCAUUUUUAACCAGCUUUAGGAUCUUAUAUUAAGGAUGAGUGUGGUUUCAUGGAAACAGUUUUCUUUGGUGUAUUCUUUCAGAAGGAUAAAGUUCUUUGCUACCAGGCUGAGAACGGUCUACUAGUACCAGACAAGAUCUUGGUUUGGUCUCCAGAUGCCACAGAUCUCUAUCCAAUGGAGCAUCUGUACGACGGGCUGGAGCAGUAAGUCUCAUUUGCUGAGGAAAGAAUCACACUUUCUGAAGUCCAGGCCUGUUUUGGCUACAAAAAAUGGGCCCGGUGCACUGUUAGGCCAGGGGUUAUAAUGAUAUGCCUGAUUGAUGUAUAAAGAACUAUGCAGAAUUACUAAAGGUCUGUAAAGUGCCAUUGUACACAAUCAGUUUAUAUUAGACAAAACAAGUUUUAUCAGUUAAUUGCUGAUCUAUGUGCAGUGAAUUUUAACACAGCAGUAAAUCUCCAAGAGCAAACUUAAAAAUGGACUGCUUUGUUAAAGUUUCUCCGUAAAUAUGUACCUGUAUUUAUCCCCACUGAUUUCCCUUGUGUGCUCUACAGUCUCAUUGCGAAUGUGUCGUUUAUCACUCUCCCAAGGCCUCCUGUCCCUUUAAAUCUUUUAUAAGCAUUACACAACAGGUCGAGUAGCACACAAGCAACAAACAACCCGAAAAAGAAAACUGACAGGGCAAGGUGGAGCGAGCCAGGCAAAGGAAUCAGACACCUAUGGCCGGGGAGGCCCUCUGAUCAGAGCUGUCACUGUGGCGACCACGCAAACAGACUCAAAUAUAACAUCUUAAUACUCCCUCACGGAAACAAACGGCUCGGCCUUGUCCACCUGAAGCCUGAUAAAUGGCUCGUAAAUGCUGUGGGAAAGGAGCUGUUGUGAAUUUUCUCGGCUGCGACAGGAUUCGCUUGAUUUAUUUGUUUGUAAAAGCAGUUGGUUUCUCAAUAGCUUGUUCACCUGUAUAUUAACAGUGAAAACUUCAGGGGUAAAGAACAAGGAAAUUAGAGAUGGUUGGCUAGUUUUCUACUUAGUUGAGGUACUUGGCAACAAGUCAGUGAACUGGCCACUACCUGUCCUGGCCCCACCCUCCCUGUGCAUUGUAGCUUUGCUUCUGCGUCAUGGCUCUCAUUACCAGCAAUUGACUGCUACUUCCCUUCUCCCUUCCUCUUGUAGCAGCUGGAGACGAACAAACUAUCCUCUAUUCUUCCAAAGCGACAGAGAGAACGGGAUUAAUCUCGUUUGUCUGCAGGUGAGCCUGUAAGCCAGAGGUAUACAACACAGAGGAAGCAUUUAGAGCGCAUGUGCUGUUGUUGUUUGGUCCUUCACACAUCCAUGUAGCUUGGAUUAUAUAUCAGAUGACUUGUGUGGGUGUGUUGGAGGGAAAAGAGUGACUGAGAAGUGCACGGGUGCUUUUUUUACAGUGUUUUUCCACUUAAUCAUUUGGUUUUGAUGUCUUUAUCUACUUCAUCUGUUUCCCUUAAUUCAUAUUUUUUAGCAGACUAUGAACCAGACUCCAUAAACCUGAAUCUUAAACCACCCCGGAGCUCAUGCUGGCGGUCAGUGGAGGUCCUUGCAUGGUUGAUACUAAGGUCAAACCCUUGAAUGAAUCUGUGUUUUGCUGAUUAACGUGUAAUCAACGAAAAGAUUCCACUGAAUAUUCCACUCUGAUGAUGGGUUUUACCAGAGGUGCCCCCUUUGGAAGCUGGUUUCAGAUGGUGGCUUAGAGUAUUGUCAUCUGUCUAGCACCAUUUGAAAUCAGUGUUCUUUGGGUGGGAAGUGUUUCAUUCCACUGGCAGAAGCCAGAAGCAACAACAAGCCCGUCACCAUAGAUAUGACGGUGUAAAGAAACGCAAACAACUCUCUGAGGCUCACUCCUUAAAGAACGUCAAGUCUCGGAGAUGCAAAUCAUGUCUACCAAGAUGCUUUUCACUUUUCAAGUCCCUUUGUCCUCUCUCCAAGGUUGACCGAUUUCUUUUGGUGUUCAGAGUCCAUUUCUCUUUCUAGCACCAUUUGAAAUCGGUUACAAUGAAGGACAGAUCUCGUCAUACCUUGAGGAGGAAACUCUGCUGCAUUGUGGCCUUUCUUGGAUUGGGUGGAGUGAAACUUGACAAUAAGGCUAUAAACUAAGAAAAGCUACAUUGAUGUGCAUGUGGAGAGGGGUUAUGUUAGAUUUUAAGAAGUAUGAAAUAAACUGUCCUGUCUUUAUAUUUGAAGCUAUUCCUCUUUUUAUCCACAAGGUGGCAGCAUGAUAUUGGGGCAUCGAAUGUCCAUCAAGCUUAGCAAACCCCACACCAAGUCUAACUAUAGAUAUAGAUUGGAUAAGGUGCGUUGUACCUUAAUGUAUCAUUUGAAAGGCAUGUUUUAAUCUCUGGUAUUUUCAGAAUUUCACUAACUGCCAAAUAAAUGCUUAUUUAGUAAAAUUCUUAUUGAAAAAGUGGUGAUAGUACAUAUUUUAAGCAGGGCAUGCAUAUUUGUACUCAGCAUUAAGGCUGAUGCAGGUUACUCAUAUAAAAUGUUUUAAGAAAAUCAAUUAACAGCUAAGAAUGUAGGUAAAUAUUUAUAUAUUCACAAAUAAGUACCUGAGCGAAGAAACAAACAACUUUUACUACCAAAGACGAAAUUAUAUACAAACUACAACAGCAAUGAAAAUUUAUGACUUGGGAGGUUUACUAGUCUAAAGGCAUAAUAUAUAUUUAAGAUUGUGGCACUCACUGUUUAAAAUGAUUUUCAAAAGUAGCUAAAGUAGGUUAAAGUUCACAGAGGAAGGCAGGCCUCACAACAUUGCUCUGUUUAUAUUUGGAAAGCUACCUUUGUUCUAAGCUUGUUUACUUGUUCUUGAACACUGUACUGUACAGAUGAAUGGUCAAUGUAACCACACUCCUUUCAGCAGUAGAAAUUAGUUGAGAAGAACUGUACAAUGCUUCCUAAUGUUAGCUGUAAAUGGUAAAAGAUGUAGCUAGAUUUUUUGUGUUUUAGUUUGUCUCUCACAUGCAAUUUACAAUUUUGUAACAUGACAAAAAUAUAAAUUUGUACUCUAUG